CAGCAACUGCAGCUAAUUUCCUCUAACAUACUCAGCCCCUAUUCAAAGCAAAAUCACAAUCAUCACAGGUACAGAGACAAAAAUGAUACUCAGUAGUAGUAUACAUAAAGAAAGAAAGCAAAUUUAUUUCCGUUGUUCCAUGUUCAUAUCUCCAACUGCAAAAAGUGAAUUCCUAACAACAAUAUUUAUGUCCACAUUCAUAAACGAAUCCAACAAAGAAAAGAAACCUUUCUAUAUUCCCUCCCACCAGCCUCCAGAUUCAUUGUGAGAUGCCCAAUAAUGGGCAUAUCAUUCUAUAGCUCAACUCCUCUGAUGAUUGUCUCGUAUGCUCAUUACUAGUUUUGCAACUAUACAAGAAACCGCAACUGAAACAGCACUCUGUUUGAAGCACAUGAGAGACCGUGCGAAACCAAACUGAAACCAUCUUCAAGCAUUUACAAUAGAAGGAAUGACUGACAACCGAACGACGACUUGAUUGAGCUAUUGUGCUAUACUGAAUGAACCAUCUUGAACUGCUUAUUUCUACAAUAUAGCCUUCCUCCCAAUAUAACCAUCUUGAUCAAACUUGUACCGAAGCUCCUCUGAUUGACUCUGCUCAACAAAUGACCAUUCCAAUAAUUAAUAAACAAACAGUGGACACUUGCACAAAAUGAACAUAUUGCCCUGAUCAAACUUGUAUCGAAGCUCCUCUGAUUGACUCUGCUCAACAAAUUACCAUUCCAAUAAUUAAUAAGAGUAAACAAACAGUGGACACUGUAAAAAAAAUGAACAUCAAAAUGCAGAAGAAGAUAUCAUAUAUACUACAUAAAGCACAUUGUGUGAACAUUUCAUUAUCUUCAAAAUAUUUAUAUACAAUAUCCAAAUUGAACAAGAAAAGGCCAGUGCUUGCAAUAAUCUGCCAGCAAUUUGUGCAAAUACUAGUACUGCAAUUUGGACGACAAAUGAGGCAGCUACCAAAUGAUGCAAAGAACUAUACACUUGAGUAACAUAACCAAGCUUAGAUUCAACCAUACAUUUUGGGAAUAAAUGUUUCACAGACAAGUUCAAACCUUGGCCAAAGUUCCUGAGUUACAGGGGACAUACAGAUGUAGCCGAACUGUCUUCAAUAUUUCCAAACAGAAUAAGCAAAAGAAACUCGAGCACAAAAUGGUCAACUUAGAAAAGAACGAACCAAGAAAGAGAAAAGACCUU
rnacentral:lncRNA from 1 species